rnacentral:lncRNA from 10 species
ACUUCUGAAUAAAAUGACUGCUGAAGUGAUGACCCGCAAGAAUUGGUCAAAUUUGGAGUAGACUUCACCCUGCGCUUGGUGAAACUUCUACGUCAAGGAUGCAAGAGGCGCCGAAGUAACGCAGCUCCCACCUGUCGCUCUCCGCUGGGCGCCGAGACUAUGGCCGGAGAAUAGCUGCACCGGGAUUGGAGAAAGGAAGCCAUCAGUCUUAGGAAGGCUCCACCUUCCUGCCAUUGCCUGGUUGGAGGAGCGUAGCGUCAGUCACUAGAGCAGUCACCACCUCUGGGACAGGUGAUUUUAAUGGGCUCACCUGAAUGCUGCUGAGCGCUGCCACCCCCAUAUACAGGAAGAUGCCAUAGAGCACAGGCAUUGGAAUGAACUGGUAGAAAGAAGCAGAGAGUUAUCAAAGUUUACCUCUGCCAACCUCCCAGAUGCCCCAGGAUGCCCAGAUGCCCUAGAUCCCUCUAGCAUCUAGCAUCCAGGUCUGCCCAGGCCUUGCCUUUCCUUUCACAUGUUUCAUGCCGAUCUUAUUGAAUCCUCAAAUCAAUUAGAUGAAGUAAAUGUUAUUAUUGCCUUCAUUUUA